GAUGAACGCUGGCGGCGUGCUUAACACAUGCAAGUCGAACGGGACUAUUCCAGAUUGAGGCUUCGGCGGAUUGACGGUUUAGUUUAGUGGCGGACGGGUGAGUAACGCGUGAGCAACCUGCCCUUCAGAGGGGGACAACAGCUGGAAACGGCUGCUAAUACCGCAUAUUGCAACUGAAUCGCAUGAUUUGGUUGUGAAAGAUUUAUCGCUGAAGGAUGGGCUCGCGUCUGAUUAGCUAGUUGGUGGGGUAAUGGCCCACCAAGGCGACGAUCAGUAGCCGGACUGAGAGGUUGACCGGCCACAUUGGGACUGAGAUACGGCCCAGACUCCUACGGGAGGCAGCAGUGGGGAAUAUUGGGCAAUGGGCGAAAGCCUGACCCAGCAACGCCGCGUGAAGGAAGAAGGCUUUCGGGUUGUAAACUUCUUUGACCAGGGAAGAAACAAAUGACGGUACCUGGAAAACAAGCCACGGCUAACUACGUGCCAGCCGCCGCCGUAACAC
rnacentral:rRNA from 1 species